rnacentral:lncRNA from 1 species
UACUUAGCAUUUUGGCUAGCAAUUUUAUUUGAAUGUGAAGUAGCCAGAGCCCAAUUUGUGUAUAUGAAUUCAGUUUUUAAGUAUAAAAACAAUAGCUAUUUGGUUGGGCUAAGAAUAUUAAGAAAUGAUGAGGAAGCCCAAACCCAACAUUCUUUCAUUAAGCAGAUUAGUCAACCUUAUUAGCGUAAGUUAAAUUAUUCAGAUUAUUAAUUCAGAUUAGUUAUUCUUCAUACACGUAGCAUUUAGCUUCCACGCCGACUCAAGUCAGUAUAAGCUUCAUCCCUCAAGCGUUGAACCAUUUUCUUCAUUCUGCAAAAUCUUAACUACUACUCCAGUAAACAUCCAUCCAACACACAAAUUACACACAAUCAUCCACAGCAGACAUCAAAGAAGGUAGUCUUUCUUUUCAAUACAGUUAACUUUAUAUCAUAAAGGCAGCAACCAAGAACUGUGAUGAGUAAUAACUAUAAUCACAUAUGCAAUUCUGACUUCAUAAACACUGUUCCAAUUUCUUAAUAACAAUAAAGAAAUAGAUUUAUCACAUAUAAAAAUCGGAUCUUGAGCAGUAGCCACUCCGAGAGACACCCUGAAUCAUGGAUUCCUGAAAUAGAAAAACUAGGGAUUGAUUAGUUUGAGGUAUUAGAACUGAAAUAGGUUAUUGAAAUAGAAAAUAAAGAAAAAGAGAAAAGAAGAAGGAAAAUAAUUAGAACAGGGGAAAGGAUGGCAGCAGCAACCGCGAGCCACCGCGACGGAGGCGCGACUGGCGGCAGCGACCGCCGGCACUGCCCACGCCACGGCGGUCCGCGGUGGCCGCCAGUAGCACAGAGAGUUUGAGCGAGAGAGAGUAAGACAAAGACAGAGAGACACGGACAUGAGAGAAAGUAGAGCGAGAUAGAGGCAGGGAGAGAAGAGCAGAGCGGCGGCGACCGCCGGCGCUGCAUGCGCCGCUGCGGCUCGCAGCGGCCGCUGCAAGCAAAGGGGCAGAGAGAGAGAUCGAGAUUAAGAGCGCAGAGAAGGCAGAGAGAGAGAUCGAGAGACAGAGAGAAAAAGAGGGAGAAAGAGAAGCUUACCUGAGAUGGAGUAGGUGGCAGUGCGACGGGGACAACGGUGGCAGUGAAACUCGCCGGUUGACUGGAGUUGAAGGGGGGGAAAAUUAGAAACCCUAGGUGAUUUGAAUUAAGAAUGGGAAAGGGAAGGAAAGGAAGAAGAAGGGGAGAGAGACGCCGGCCUCGCCGCGCCGGAGGCGGCGAGGACUGGCGACGUCGCCGGGCGAGAGGGAGAGGGAAAGUGAGAGACGCAGGUGAGAGAACAGAGAGAAAUGGAGUCUGCGUAAAAAGAAAAAGAAGGAAGAAGAGAGAUGUUGACUUUAGUAUAUUCUAGACUUACGUUCUAUUUAGUUUUUAAUUUAUUUUGAUUAAUUGGGCUUUGAGAAUUUCAUAUUGGGUUUAAAUAAUACUUAGGCCAUUAAUUGCUAUUGGACCUUAGUAAUAAAUUAGAUUAUGGACUUAAUUAUUGGUUUGGGUCCUUAAUUCAUUUAAUUGAGAUGAGUUUAUUUUAAUUUAAGCCUAUAAAUAUGUAUAAAGGAUUAUUAGCUAUUUGCUAAUAAUUGGCUUGAUUUAUUAAAUGGCCUAGACAUAUAAUUAAAUUAUGCUAAUACUCUAUGUAAUUAUGCAUAAAUUAGACACUAGAUUAUUAUAGAAUCAAAUUCUUGAAAGAAGAGAAAAAUAGAUUUAUAUUAUUUCCAGUUAAUAGCUAUUUAUUAAAUUAGAAUGAGUAGAGUUAUGAUUAACGCUAGAGUUAUGAGUAUUGCAGUUUAAGUUUAUGUUGGUAUUUGUUGAUAAGUUUGCUAAAUAGCAACUAGUCUUUAUACCAUAAUUUCAAUAGAGCUAUCAUCUUAAAACCAACAUAAGCAUUCUUUAUAAAUCAAGUCCCUAUCAUUUCCUCAUUAUUUAUUAGUCAGUUUUUAUACUGAAGGUCAGAUACAAGCAAGGGUAAAGCAAUAGUUCAGAAUUACUAGUGUUGUCAGACCACGAUCAGGUGGGCUUUCUAAACUCAAAAUCUGAAGUGCAUAUUAUUUCAUAAUGUUUACAUGAAUGAAGUUAUACUAAUUAAAGUUAUUGACUUGCCAAAAAUUUUGUGAGCUAAUAUGAUACCUAUCUGGCACCAGAAGUUAAUCGAAUUCGGAUCCUGUUCUAUCAAGAUGUUAGACAGGAUUAGUGUACACAAGGGACCGUGAGCCGAUCAAGCAUAUCGGCCGGCCUAGGACCGUGAGCCGGUUUAGCGUAUCGGCCGGUCUAGGACCGUGAGCCGGUUUAGCGUAUCGGCCGGUCAGUGACCGUAGAAGGUGGCCACCUUCUCGGCACACAGUUAUCAUUGCAGAUAUGGUAUAAUACAAAGAAGUAUGUCUGCAGACGNGCGUAAAAAGAAAAAGAAGGAAGAAGAGAGAUGUUAACUUUAGUAUAUUCUAGACUUAAGUUCUAUUUAGUUUUUAAUUUAUUUUGAUUAAUUGGGCUUUGAGAAUUUCAUAUUGGGUUUAAAU